UUAUCUUUGAGAAAGGAAGAUAUGUUUGAAGAUGAUACAAAAAUUCUAGAGAAUGGAAUGAAGAAGCUCAAUUUGAAGAAAAGACCCACUCAAAAUGAAGAUGAAGGAACAAAAGAUGUUGAGCAAGAGAAGAAUGCUAAACAAGAAGUACUUCAAAGGUAUAGUGAUCUACCCAAAGAGUGGAAGUAUGCAUACAACCAUCCAAGAGAUCUAAUCAUAGGUGAUCUUUCACAAGGGGUAAGAACUAGAUCCU
rnacentral:lncRNA from 1 species